rnacentral:rRNA from 1 species
CCUACGGGGGCUGCAGUGGGGAAUAUUGCACAAUGGGCGCAAGCCUGAUGCAGCCAUGCCGCGUGUGUGAAGAAGGCCUUCGGGUUGUAAAGCACUUUCAGCGGGGAGGAAGGCGGUGAGGUUAAUAACCUCAUCGAUUGACGUUACCCGAAGAAGAAGCACCGGCUAACUCCGUGCCAGCAGCCGCGGUAAUACGGAGGGUGCAAGCGUUAAUCGGAAUUACUGGGCGUAAAGCGCACGCAGGCGGUCUGUCAAGUCGGAUGUGAAAUCCCCGGGCUCAACCUGGGAACUGCAUUCGAAACUGGCAGGCUAGAGGCUUGUAGAGGGGGGUAGAAUUCCAGGUGUAGCGGUGAAAUGCGUAGAGAUCUGGAGGAAUACCGGUGGCGAAGGCGGCCCCCUGGACAAAGACUGACGCUCAGGUGCGAAAGCGUGGGGAGCAAACAGGAUUAGAUACCCUAGUAGUC